rnacentral:rRNA from 1 species
AUUGAACGCUGGCGGCAUGCCUUACACAUGCAAGUCGAACGGCAGCACGGGUGCUUGCACCUGGUGGCGAGUGGCGAACGGGUGAGUAAUACAUCGGAACGUACCUUAUCGUGGGGGAUAACGCAGCGAACGCUGUGCUAAUACCGCAUACGCCCUGAGGUGGAAAGCGGGGGAGCGAAAGACCUCGCGCGAUUAGAGCGGCCGAUGCCUGAUUAGCUUGUUGGUGGGGUAACAGCCCACCAAGGCGACGAUCAGUAGCUGGUCUGAGAGGACGAUCAGCAACACUGGGACUGGGACACGGCCCAGACUCCUACGGGAGGCAGCAGUGGGGAAUUUUGGACAAUGGGGGCAACCCUGAUCCGGCAAUGCCGCGUGAGUGAAGAAGGCCUUCGGGUUGUAAAGCUCUUUUGUCAGGGAAGAAACACCGGCUCUAACACAGUCCGGGAAUGACGGUACCUGAAGAAUAAGCACCGGCUAACUACGUGCCAGCAGCCGCAGUAA